AAUCAGCUUUCUUUAAUAUAUACUUAAAACUUAAUUUUUAAGUCAAAAAGCUUAAAUUUUAUUAAGGGACGAGAAGACCCUAUAGAACUUUAUUAAUUUAUUGGACCACAUAAUUUUUUUAUUUACUUUUGUGGUCCACAUCUUUUAAUUGUGUUGGGGUGACAUAGAAAUUUAAUUAACUUUCUUUUUUUAUAUUCAUUGAUUAGUGUAUUUUUAGAUCCAGGUUUAUCUUGAUUAUAAGUUUAAGUUACCUUAGGGAUAACAGCGUAAUUCUUUUGGAGAGUUCUAAUCGAUGAAAGAGUUUGCGACCUCGAUGUUGGAUUAAAAUUAGUAUUGGGAGUAGAAGAUCAAUUACUAGGUCUGUUCGACCUUUAAAUUUUUACA
rnacentral:rRNA from 1 species